UACAGGGGGGGCAAGCGUUGUUCGGAAUUACUGGGCGUAAAGGGCUCGUAGGCGGCCGGCUAAGUCCGACGUGAAAUCCCCAGGCUUAACCUGGGAACUGCGUCGGAUACUGGCGGGCUUGAAUCCGGGAGAGGGAUGCGGAAUUCCAGGUGUAGCGGUGAAAUGCGUAGAUAUCUGGAGGAACACCGGUGGCGAAGGCGGCAUCCUGGACCGGCAUUGACGCUGAGGAGCGAAAGCCAGGGGAGCAAACGGG
rnacentral:rRNA from 1 species